rnacentral:tRNA from 1 species
UCCCUGGUGGUCCAGUGGUUAGGAUUCUGCACUUACACUGCCACGGGCUGGGGUUCAAUCCCUGGUCAGGGAA